AAUUAUUCCUAUAUUAGUUUCUUAAAAAAACAUUACAUAAUUAACAAUUCAAGAAAAUAAAAAUGAACAGAAAAAUAGUCUAAUUUAUCCCAACUGAAACACCAAAAGAAGUCUUGAAUGUCAUGGCUAGCUUGAUGAAGAAUCAUCAGCUUAAAUGAAAUAAAUACGCAACACUACAGUUAUAAUUAAACAGAAAUUAAUUAAGUGUCUACAAACGAGGAAAUUGAUCAGUCUAAUUGAUCUGCUCAAUUAAUUAUGAUCAUCUUUCGAUAUCAUUAUUCCCUUAAGACCACCUUUCUGCUGCAGUCCAAAGCCUAUGGCCUCCGACCUCUUCAUGAUUCUUAGUCUCUUGCAUGAUUCAAUAAACAUCUCCCAGGGGACGUCUCCCACAAGCAUCCAGUCUCCGUUCUUGUCCUUGUAUAUGGGAACGUAGUCGCUGCAGUCUGCAUCCUUCAACGCUUUCCCGAUUCCAAAACAACCAAAUAGCUUCUCCAAUGCAACAAAAAGAUCUGAAUACUCCUUGUGCAUACCCAAAUCAAUCUUCCGAAGAAAAGGAGCUCCAUCAAUGCUAACUUUCACGUACGGCUUUGAAGUUUCAAGCCCUUCUUUCUCAUUAAAACUAUUCUUUUUCCGAUAAGAACAAACCGGUGGCCACCCCACAACUAGAGUCUUUGUUUGGAUUUUCCGGUCAUCAUUGGUGGUGCUAUUCGCUUCCCCGCCGCCGCUUGAGACCUCAGAGAAAACCCUUUUCUUCUCAUUUUUAUUAUUGUUAAUACCUUCGCCGCCCGGUAGCCCCAACCUAAGCUCAGUGACGAUUUCAAGUGCAAGACCUGCCAUUUUUCUAGCUCUUGUUUUGAAUAUGUGAUUGCUAAUUUUCUAUGGUUGUGUAGUUGUUAU
rnacentral:misc_RNA from 1 species